rnacentral:pre_miRNA from 1 species
GGAAUAUAAGAACCCGUCUCUUAACUUUUAAUUAAAAAACUAAAAACCGGUUCUUAAAUAAGAGUUUUAAGAGUCGGUUCUUAACUUUUUUAGUUAAAAGUUAAGAGACGAGUUCUUAUAUUCA